rnacentral:rRNA from 1 species
UACGUAUGGGGCAAGCGUUAUCCGGAUUUACUGGGUGUAAAGGGAGCGUAGGCGGCGGGGCAAGCCUGAUGUGAAAGCCAGGGGCUCAACCCCGGGACUGCAUUGGGAACUGCCCUGCUGGAGUGCCGGAGGGGCAGGCGGAAUUCCUAGUGUAGCGGUGAAAUGCGUAGAUAUUAGGAGGAACACCAGUGGCGAAGGCGGCCUGCUGGACGGUGACUGACGCUGAGGCUCGAAAGCGUGGGGAGCAAACAGG